rnacentral:rRNA from 1 species
CAGUCGCCGCGGGAAUACGAAGGGGGCUAGCGUUGCUCGGAAUGACUGGGCGUAAAGGGCGCGUAGGCGGCGGCCAAAGUCAGGCGUGAAAUUCCCGGGCUCAACCUGGGGGCUGCGUUUGAUACUUGGUUGCUUGAGUGGGGAAGAGGGUCGUGGAAUUCCCAGUGUAGAGGUGAAAUUCGUAGAUAUUGGGAAGAACACCGGUGGCGAAGGCAGCCCCCUGGGCCAAUACUGACGCUCAUGCACGAGAGCGUGGGGAGCAAACAGGAUUAGAUACCCCGGUAGUCCCUGUCUCUUAUAC